AACGAACGCUGGCGGCAGGCUUAACACAUGCAAGUCGAGCGCCCCGCAAGGGGAGCGGCAGACGGGUGAGUAACGCGUGGGAAUCUACCCAUCUCUACGGAAUAACGCAUGGAAACUUGGGCUAAUGCCGGAUAAGUCCGCAAGGAGAAAGAUUUAUCGCCGAAGGAUCGGCCCGCGUCUGAUUAGCUUGUUGGUGAGGUAACGGCUCACCAAGGCGACGAUCAGUAGCUGGUCUGAGAGGAUGAUCAGCCUCACUGGGACUGAGACACGGCCCAGACUCCUACGGGAGGCAGCAGUAGGGAAUAUUGGACAAUGGGCGCAAGCCUGAUCCAGCCAUGCCGCGUGAGUGAUGAAGGCCUUAGGGCUGUAAAGCUCUUUCGGCGGGGAAGAUAAUGACGGUACCCGCAGAAGAAGCCCCGGCUAACUUCGUGCCAGCCGCCGCAGUAACAC
rnacentral:rRNA from 1 species